AAUCAUGGUAUGAUAAAAUAAAUUCAUGUUAGUUACUUUAUAGUAGAAUUAUUCGAAGAAUAAUAUGUUAAGAAGUUUAUUAACAAAGAGGAAACGGAGAAAUAUCCCUAAGGACUAUGCCAUCCUAAAGGUGAAACCAUUGAGGCAAGAAGCCGUGGCGGGGAGUAACCAGAGUAGAGGCGCUGUUUAAGGGAAAAAGUAUCCAGAUUACCAUGUUAAUAGUGACGGAAGAACAUAUUAUUUAAGAAUAAUCUAGUAUAUAGUAAGCCAAUAUGACCAUAUUUUGUUGUGUACGUGAUUGAAGGGAAUAUUUUGAAAAAAGCAAAUUUAUGAAAAAUGAAUGAUAAUAUAUCUGAUGUGAUGGUAGAUAAAUUCAAGAUACUUAUUUU
rnacentral:lncRNA from 1 species